rnacentral:miRNA from 1 species
UUGAAUCACUGGGGAUCUUGUUAAAAUUCAGAUUCUUAUUCUGAAGGUUUAAGAUUCUGCAUUUCUAAUAAGCUUUCAGCGAUGCUGAUGCU